UCCUCCCGGCUCCGAAUCCACCUCUUCCUCCUCCGCGGGGUCCGCCCCUUCCUCCUCCACGGGGUCCGCCCCUUCCACCUGCAGGGGAAUUGAAGGCCCCUCGAAA